GGUACCCGGACUAACCUGUUUCUAAUUAUAAUGAAGGGCUGAGAUUGAAUGAUAACCUAUCAUAUCAUUCAAUCUCAACCGUUAGUUUCUACCCUAGGUUCUACAGGAGUCCAAGCCAAGGUUCCAAAAUCACAGCUGCUUCUUUAUUCCUCCCUCUCGCUCCAUCUCUUUCCCUCUCCUCCAUCUCUCAUGCAUCAGUGCAAUCAACCUUUACUGAUCGUUGUUGCAGCCACUUUGUAGUGCCGUUCACCCCCACCGCGGGAAAGGUCUCAUUCCUGAGAACCAGCAGGAAUAUGCAGCAGCCUCUUUGAAGCUUAAGUUAUGGAAACAUGCUCAAUAAAUCUGUUAGUAUUGGAAUUCAAUGCCAUUGGGUUGGCUUGCUUAUGUAGUUCUGUGGUAUGUCAUAUAUUUUUGGUGAGAUUUGAGAUGGAUUAAAUUGUUCAUUGGUUUUCAUUGUGUUGAUUGGUUGAAUAUGAAUUAGGAUUUUAGAUGUAAGUACGAGUAGGAAUAUAAUCAUAAUAUCUUGAUAUCUUGAACUCUUGAAUAUAUAAAAUUUACGUUGUUACCAUUGUAAUA